AACGAACGCUGGCGGCAGGCUUAACACAUGCAAGUCGAGCGGGCGGUUUCGGGCGCCAGCGGCGGACGGGUUAGUAACGCGUGGGAACGUGCCCUUUGCUCUGGAAUAGCCCUGGGAAACCGGGGGUAAUACCGGAUGUGCCCUGAGGGGGAAAGGUUUUACCGGCAAGGGAUCGGCCCGCGUCUGAUUAGGUAGUUGGUGUGGUAACGGCGCACCAAGCCGACGAUCGGUAGCUGGUUUGAGAGGAUGAUCAGCAACACUGGGACUGAGACACGGCCCAGACUCCUACGGGAGGCAGCAGUGGGGAAUCUUAGACAAUGGGCGAAAGCCUGAUCUAGCCAUGCCGCGUGGGUGAUGAAGGCCUUAGGGUCGUAAAGCCCUUUCGCCGGGGAAGAUAAUGACGGUACCCGGUAAAGAAACCCCGGCUAACUCCGUGCCAGCCGCCGCCGUAA
rnacentral:rRNA from 1 species